AAAGUAAUUGUGGUUUUUGUUAUUGUUUUCAGUGGCAAAAACUGCAAUUACUUUUGC
rnacentral:miRNA from 10 species